GAUGAACGCUGGCGGCGUGCCUAAUACAUGCCAGUCGAGCGAACGGACGAGAAGCUUGCUUCUCUGAUGUUAGCGGCGGACGGGUGAGUAACACGUGGAUAACCUACCUAUAAGACUGGGAUAACUUCGGGAAACCGGAGCUAAUACCGGAUGAUAUUUUGAACCGCAUGGUUCAAAAGUGAAAGACGGUCUUGCUGUCACUUAUAGAUGGAUCCGCGCUGCAUUAGCUAGUUGGUAAGGUAACGGCUUACCAAGGCGACGAUGCAUAGCCGACGUGAGAGAGUGAUAGGCGACCCUGGAACUGAGCCACGGUCCAGGCUCCUACGGGAGGCAGCAGUAGGGAAUCUUCCGCAAUGGGCGAAAGCCUGACGGAGCAACGCCGCGUGAGUGAUGAAGGUCUUCGGAUCGUAAAACUCUGUUAUUAGGGAAGAACAUAUGUGUAAGUAACUGUGGACAUCUUGACGGUACCUAAUCAGAAAGCCACGGCUAACUACGUG
rnacentral:rRNA from 1 species